UCAGUUUUCAUCAAAAUGCUGUCUUUCUUCCAAUCUCUCUUUUGCUGAUGAUGACUUAACUAAUAAUCCUUUUGGUUUAGAAUAUUGGAAAAAGUGAACUAGAAGUCCUAUUCCUAGAAUUAGUCAAGAUUCAACUAGUAAUUAGUUGGUGAAUCUUGGGCAAAUCACUUAAGUUUUCUGUCUUCUUUGGUUUAUUUGUAAAAGAUUUAAAAUUCUCUUAUCUUGCAAACUUUUUGAUUGGAUCAAAUAGUUCAUAGCAUAACAAUUUAGUUAAAAGCAAGAAUUCUGGAUCUGGACUCAAAACUCAACUUCUCUAUUUUUUAUUUUAUGACCACAAGAAUAUUAUUUAAUCUUACAUGUUUUAGCUUCUUUGUAUGUAAUAUGGUAAUAAUUAUGGUACAGAAUUAUAGGUUGAUAAAAAUAGUUAAAUAGUUGAGGAACAUUUAAAAUAGUACCUGCACAUAGAAAAUGUUCAUAGAAAAUGUUAAGUAUUAUUAUUAAAUGCCAAACAUAUUUGGAAAAUUGUGAAUUGCUAUAAAAAUACAAGGUGAUUAGAUUCCUAUUUUAACAGGUCACUGAUGGCUCAAGCUAAAAUGAAUGACUAACACCGAAAUUUUAGGCCCUGUAAUUAGCUACAGAAUGAAUAACUUGGCACCUCUCAAAUUAUACCUCAUAGCUGGCUAUGUAUUCUGCCUAUUCCCAGAGAUGGCCUGAGAAGCUACUCUGUGUACUCUGUACCGGAUGUUAUGAUUCUUUGGUUUCAAAUGAGAGGAGCAACGGAAGCUGGCUUAAGCCAACAGAAAGAUGUAAUUGGCUCAGGAGUCACAGAGGAGCAUGGACCGGCCGUGGGUGGAACCCUGCUGAAGACAGCAUCCUGAACACCAAAUGUCACUGGGAUUGUCCGGAAGAAGCAGACCUUCGUGUCAUGUUUUCUGAGUGUUAAACAUCUCAACGAGCAGAGAAAUCCUCAACGUUACACUCCGCUUUGUUCUUCUGAUAAAAAUUCUAUGAGCCCCUCCUUUUGUCAGAUGGAUGAGGGUCCUUCAAAAAUGUCAUAGGAUAUGGGGUUCAAGGAAAAAUUUCUCUUGGCUAAACGGUUUGAAAUCCAUACAUAGUUUUUUCAUCAUGCACAUUUUCCAUGAGCAUUUUGAAGGUUCCUCAUUUACAUAGAGUUCAAAAUUUGUUGUGCCAAAGUAAAUUAUCUAGUUCAAUUUUCCACAAACCUGCUGAAGCGCCCUUGUACAUCUUAAUCUAUUUUCAAAUACGUGUUUUAUGUUGUUAUCUGGGGCUCUCCUUUUGUUUACAAAAUAUGUAUUCAAAUUCCUUUCAGAAGUGUGUUUACAAACAAGUAAAAGAGUCUCCCUCUCUUAAAAAAAUUCUUAUUUAUUUGAAAGGCAGAGAGUCAAAGCGAGGAGGGAGAUCUUCCAUCCACUGGUUCAUUCUCCAAAUGACUGCAACAGCCAGGUUUGGGCCAGGCCAAAACCAGGAGCCUAAAACUCCAACAUGUGAUGUCAGGCUUGGGCCAUCACCUGCUGCUUUCCCAGGCUUGUUAGCAGGAAUGCCGGAUUGAGAGCAGAGCAACUGGGACUCUAACUGGCAUUCUGAUGGAGAGUGCCGGCGUCACAGGCCGCAGCUUAACCCCACUGCACCACGACACCGGCCCAAGAGCCUCCUUUUCAUGGGGAUCUGACACCGUCUCUGCAAAGGUGAGGGGUGGGUAGGGGAAGACAAGAAUGUACUCAUUGCUAAGGUGUGAUUAGGACUUAUCCACUCCAGCUGAUGUUGAAAUGGUGUCCUUGGUAAGAGACAGGAAGGGGUGGGACCAGGUGGGAGCUUGAAGGGGUGAUUGGUGGGUUCAUGGGUUAGCACGAGAGUGGGUUUGCUAUAAAAGCCAGUUUGGAGCCGGCGCGCAGCUCACUAGGCUAAUCCUCUGCCUUGUGGCACCGGCACACUGGGUUCUAGUUCUGGUCGGGGCGCCAGAUUCUGUCCUGGUUGCCCCUCUUCCAGGCCAGCUCUCUGCUGUGGCCAGGGAGUGCAGUGGAGGAUGGCCCAAGUACUUGGGCCCUGCACCCCAUGGGAGAGACCAGGAUAAGUACCUGGCUCCUGUCAUCGGAUCAGCGCGGUGCGGCAGCCAUUGGAGGGUGAACCAACGGCAAAAAGGAAGACCUUUCUCUCUAUCUCUCUCUCACUGUCCACUCUGCCUGUCAAAAAAAAUAAAUAAAAUAUAUAUAUAUAAAGCCAGUUUGGCUGCGUCUCUCGCAUUGCUCCUUGGUUCUCGCUGCCUGAUGCUCUGUGCCACCUUAAGGACCCUGCCAGCAGCAAGCCCAUCGUCGCCACCACAACUUGAGCUCUUGACUUUAGUCCAGAACUGUGAGUUAAAGUAUUUUUUUUAAUUAUGCCUCACCCAGCCCAUGGAACUGUGUUGUUAGGAAA